UGCUGGAUUUUCUGGAAAACUUUUUGCUUUUCUUCUAAAAGGAACAGAUGUCAGGAAACCCAGUGUUGCAUCACCUGCUUCUUUUCUGUCUUGAGUGCAGGUAUGAAGCCUUAUGCAGUGGUAGCCAUCUUGCAACCAUGAGGCACUUGACUAAGCAAAAAGAAAAAAAAAGAAAAAAAAAUCCAACAAGGUCUUGCUCUGUGGCCCAGGCUGGUGUGCAGUAGCAAGAUUACAGCUGACUGCAGCCUUGACCUCCCAGGCUCAAGUGAUCCUCCCAUCUCAGCACCCCCUUCACGCUACCCUGAGUAGUUGGACUACAGGGAAAGUAAGCUUAUUGCAGCAAGUUGUGUUGGUGCCACAAGAUGCCACCCUUCCCUUGAAAAGAAGAGACUAAAGGUAAUUAUCCAGUUGAUAUUUAUCUUGUUCCAGUCACCUUUAGAAAGCUGUUUGGUUUUGGAAAUCACUAGUGGGUAAAAAAGACCAAUUUGCAACUAGGCUCUCAUGCUCUGUUGAAAACUAUGUCACAAUAUCACAAUACUAGAUGCUGGGCUCAAGACAGCAAACAGAAAGCAGCAAGGGCAGUGACUGGAAGCUGGGAGAGAGGGUCAACAGCUGAAUCUC
rnacentral:lncRNA from 10 species